rnacentral:rRNA from 1 species
UACAGAGGUGGCAAGCGUUGUUCGGAAUUACUGGGCGUAAAGGGCGCGUAGGCGGUCCUGUAAGUCCUGUGUGAAAUCCCCCGGCUCAACUGGGGAAUUGCACGGGAAACUGCGGGGCUUGAGUUCGGGAGAGGGAUGCGGAAUUCCAGGUGUAGCGGUGAAAUGCAUAGAUAUCUGGAGGAACACCGGUGGCGAAGGCGGCAUCCUGGACCGGCAUUGACGCUGAGGCGCGAAAGCCAGGGGAGCAAACGGG